rfam:Chitinophaga pinensis DSM 2588, complete genome.
AGGGCGGAUCCGAAAAGCCUUUAAAAGAGUAGGGA